UUUCUUGUCAUAGACAUAGCAACUGUUGGGAUUAAAGACUGCAAUGAACAAGUUGGGGAGAAAGGAUUUCUCAGGAGAGAACUAAUCUCACCUUCUGUCUUUCUUUUUCUCUCAGUAAUACUUAUCAAGGCCCCAACCACAGAAAGAGAGAAAAAUUUAACUUCAGGUCAGCUUGAAAAUUGUGCUGCAUCUCUGGCACUGGACAUUUUAAGUUCUUGAACUAAAACUUUAUGCUAUGGGCCUUUUUGUUACCUAAGAGUUUAGUAGAGGAGUCAUCAGACCUGUCUGAAUUUUCAUCCAGUAGCUGAAGAAACAGUCAUCACUGAGCAAGUUUGAUGGUUCAUGUAAGGUAAAGUUUAUCUUAAACUUUAUUUCAUGAUUCCCCAUUAAGGAAUGUGCAUGUUCAGUGGAAUACUGGUACCAAAGGGGUACUUGGUACUUGCAGCGACAACCUUCUCUAGCUUGCUGGAGGGAAGAACCAGGAGCAGAUAACAUCCAGAAACAUAUAAAGGGUUUACACACCAUGACCAAGUAGGAUUUAUCCCAGGAAUGCAAACGGUUUUACAUGUGAAAAGCAAUCCAUGCAACACACCAUAGUAAUAGCAGAAGGGACAACAAACCACAUGAUCACUUCAACAGACACAGGAAAACAUCUGAUAAAAUCCAACAGCAUUUUUUGCCAGAAACACUCAGCAACAUAGGAAGACAAGGGAACUUCCUCAACCUGAUUCAGAGCAUCUACAAAACCCCUCAGCUAGCAUCACACUUAAUAGUGACACUAGAAAGUUUUCUCUCAAAGAUCGGUACAAGACAAGGAUGCUUGCUUUCACCACUUCGACUCAAUGCUGGAGUGGAAGUUCUGGCUUGGACAAUGAGACAGUGAACAGAAACAAAAGCCAUCCAUAUUGGAAAGGAAGAAAUAAAACUAUCUCUAUAGACAAAGACAUGAUCUUGCAUGUAGAAAACUUAAAGAAUUCGGGCAGCCUGGGUGGCUCAGCAGUUUAGCGCCUACCUUCAGCCCAGCAUGAUCCUGGAGACCCGGGAUCGAGUUCCACGUCAGGCUCCCUGCAGGGAGCCUGCUUCUCCCUCUGCCUGUGUCUCUGCCUCUCUCUCUGUGUUUCUCAUGAGUAAAUAAAUAAAAUCUUUAAAGAAAAAAAGAAAACUUAAAGAAUUCAUACACAAAAAUCUACUAGAACUAGCAACCAAGUUUGGCAAGUUUGCAGAAUUCAAGAUCGAUAUACAAAAAUCAUCUGUAUUUUUAUACACUCAUAAUGAGCAAAUCAAAAUAAGAUUAAGAAAAAAAUUAUAUUUAUAGUAGCAACAAACAUAAUGAAAAUACUUAAAAAUAAAUAUCCAGGAAUUUGCAAGUAGCCAACUUUGUUUUCAGAAAUGUAAAACCACUAGAUUUCACUGCUUGGCUUUGUUGUGAAGUAUACCCCACCCAAGCACACCCAGAAGCAAGACCACAAACUGACCACCAUGUGCCUUCUCACUUCUUCCAUCUCUUGCACACUUGAAAUUUUUCUUGAAAUUUCUUACUCUCAUGAUACAACUAAUGCAAACUGAACAUUCUAAUUCCCUACAAGAGCUAUGAUUAGCCUCUCGUUAUUUUAGUAAUUUCUCAAAUCAGUUUCAUUGUCCUGAUGCAAACAUCUGCACUCCUUCUAGCUUCAGCACUCUCAACAGUUCCCCAACAUUGACAGUUUUGUCUUUUCUUCCUCCAGGGGCUAAUUCUCAGCUCCGAGCCAUCCUCUGAUCCCCUGCUUUCAUCCUCACUGGAUUCUCUUAUCCUUAAUCGGUGAGCCAGCUCCUAGACUUACACAGUUCAGAGAGAUUCAGUCAUCAAUGAAGUAUUUUCUUCGAGCCUGAGGAAAGAAAGAAUGGGAAAUGCACCACAAACCAUUUGCCUUUGGGGAUCUUUUCUUCCCUUUUGCCUUAGUAAUAAAAAAAAAAAAAAAAUAGCAUAAUCAGAUCUGGGCUUACUCAUACUUAAUUAUACCCAAACCCAAAAUUACAAUAGCUUGUCGAUGUCACCUUGGCCCUCCCUAGAAUGUUUUUGGUAAGUGUUUUGCCCAUAAAGCUAAUGUUAAGCAAGUGGAUAACAGACCCAAGAGACGUUUUAAUCCAAAAUAAUGACCAUAUCAAAUGAAAGCCCUAACCUCAGUAGAGAAUUACUGAAGAGUGUACUGGAAAACAGAAUAAUAGAAAUCUAGAGCAGCAAAGAGGCAAGGCUCUUAGUCACAACUGUGCCAUUUUAAUCAUGAGCAGAUUUAGUCAUUCUCAAUAUAUUAUUUUUAAUUUUCAUGAAGUCUUGAAUUAAAUAAACUGUCCCUUUAGGAUUACCUCAGCUAGACACAUGGACUUGGUAGAACCUACAAAGUAUUUCAGACUUUUGUCCCAGAGUAGACAACAAGUAGAAAAAUCAGUUUUCAACGUUAACUUCCCAGGCCCACUUGGCUUUACUGGAAGUUACAGAAAACAUUUUAGAUGGAAUUAAUAUCAAUUCUUCACAAACACUUCCCACCUCAUUAUAUGAAACUAGCAUUACCAAAACCGGGUAGACACACACACACAGGUAUUGUAUGAAUAUAGAUGCAAAAAAUCCCCAACAAAAUAUAAGCAAAUGAAAUCCAGAAACUUACAAAAGGGAUUAUAUGCCAUGACUAAGCAGAAGUUAUAUCAGAAAUGCAAACUGGUUUAACAUAUGAGAAGCAAUCCAUGCAACACACCAUAGUAAUAGCAGAAGGGACAACAAACCACAUGAUCACUUCAACAGACACAGGAAAACAUCUGAUAAAAUCCAACAGCAUUAUUUUUGCCAGAAACACUCAGCAACAUAGGAAGACAAGGGAACUUCCUCAACCUGAUUCAGAGCAUCUACAAAACCCCUCAGCUAGCAUCACGCUUAAUGGUGACACCAGAGAGUUUUCCCUCAAAGAUCCGAAGAAGAAAAGGAUGCUUGCUCUCACCACUUCGACUCAAUGCUGCAGUGGAGGUUCUGGCUUGGACAAUGAAACAGUGAACAGAAACAAAAGCCAUCCAUAUUAGAAAGGAAGAAGCAAAAUUAUCUCUAUCGACAAGACAUGAUCUUGCAUGUAGAAAGCCUACAGAAUUCAUACACAAAAGUCUAUUAGAACUAGCAAAUGAGUUUGACAAAUUUGCAGAAUCCAAGGUCAACAUGUAAAAAUCAAUUAUAUCUCUGUACUAGUUAUGAAAAAAAAAAAACAAAAUAAAAUUUUAAAAUUCUAUUUACCAGGGUGCCUGGGUGGCUUGGUCUGUUAAGCAUCCAGCUCUUGAUUUCAGCUCAGAUCAUGAUCUCAGGGUCCUAGGAUCAUGGACCAUGCCAGGCAACCAACUGAGCAUGGAGUCUACUUGAGAUUCUUUCCCUCUUCCUCUCCCUCCCCAUCUGCCCCUCCCUGCCACUUGCUGGCAAGUGUGCCCAUGCACACACUCUCUCAAAUAAAUAAAUAAAUAAAUAAAUAAAUAAAUAAAUAAAUUUAAAAAUAAUAAAAUUCUAUUUAUAAUAGAAACAAAACUAAUGAAAAUAUUUAGGAAUAAAUUAAUAAAAGUCCAAUACUUGUACACUGAAACCUACAAAACAUUGUUAAAAAAUUAAAGGUUGAAAUAAAUGGAAGGACAUUUCACAUUCAUGGGUAAGAACCCAUCAUAUUGUUAAGAUGGGAAUAUUCUCUAGAAUUAUAUACAAAUUCAAUACAAACUCUAUCAACAUUCUAACUGGAAUUGUGAAGAAACUGGAAGCUGACCAUAAAAUUUACAUGAAAAGACAAGGGACCCAGAGUAGCCAAAACAAUUCUGAAAACAAGAACAAUACUGGAGGACUCACAUUUGCCAAUUUCAAUACAAAACAGCUACAGUAAUCUAGACAAUGCAGUACAGGCACACAGAUACACACACGGAUCAAUGGAGUAGAAUCCAGAGUCCAUAAAUAAACCCUUAUGUUUAUGGUCAAUUGGAUUUUGACAAAGGUGCAAAUGAGGAAGGGAACAGCUUUUGAACAAAGGAUGCUGGAACCUGGUAUACAGAGCAAAAAAAUUGGACCCUUCUUUAUACCAAACACAAAAAUCAUUCUAGUGUAAGAUACAAAACUAUAAAAGUCUUAGGAGUAAAUGCAAGAAUAUACUUUGUAGCUGUGGAUUAGACAAUGUAUUUUUAGAUAUGAAACCAAAAGCACAAGUGGGGAAAAAAAAGAUUGAUUAUUUAGUCUAUAGCAAACUUUUAAACUUUUGUCAUACAAUUGGUACCAUCACCAAAGUAAAAGACUAUAGUAUAUAAAGAGGGAAGUAUUUGAAACACAUAUGCUUUAAGGGACUGGUAUUCAGAAUAUGAAGAACAUUUACAACUCAAUAAAAAAAAAAAUCCAAGUACAUAAUGGGCAAAGGAUGUGAGUAAACAUGUCUCCAAAGAAGAUAUACAAAUAGCCAAUAGCACAUGAAAAAUAUGCUGAACAUAAUUAAUCAUUAGGGAAAUUCAAAUUACAACUGCCAUGAGAUACAACAUCAUACCCACUUGGAUGGCUAUAACCAAAAGUCAGAAGACAGUGGGUGUUGGCAAGGUAUGAAAAUAUUGGAAUUAUUAUACACUCAUAUUAAAUAUUGGAAUUAUUAUACACUCAUAUUAAAAUGCUGCUGUCACUUUGGAAAACCAUUUGGCAGCUCCUCCAAUAUUAAAAUCGGAGAUAGCCAUUAUGACAUAGCAUUUACACCCCUAGAUGUAUACCCAAAGGAAAUGAAAAUCUGCAUCCUCAAAAAACUUUUCUGUGAUUGCUUACAGCAACAUUAUUCAUAAUAGGCAAGAAGUGGAAACAACAGAAAUGCCUAUUAACUGAUAAAUGGGAAAAUCAAAUGUGGCAUAUCCACACAAAGGAAUACUAGCCAGUGUGGAAAAUGAAGUUUUGAUACAGGCUACAUUAUAGUAGUGCUGCAUUGUAACAUUAUGCUAAGUGAAUGAAGCCAGUCACAGAAGGCCACACAUAUACAAUUUACUUAUAUGAAAUGUCCAGCAUAAACAAGAAAUUUAUAAGGACAGAAAAGUGUAUCACUGGUUCACUGAGUUAGGUGGGUUGGAAUGAGAAAUGAUUACUAAUGGGUAUGGGAAUAUUUGGUGAGGAGCUGAUGAAACUUCUCUAAAACUAAUUGUGAUGAUGAUUGCAGAGCUGUGACUAUACUGAAAAGUGUUGAAUUGUACACCCUGAAGGGGUGAGUCUUAUGGUUUGUGAAUUAUAUAUCUUAAUGAAGAUGUUAAGAGUUGAUUUGGUCAUGUUCAUGCUUUACUGUCACCCAAAAUUCAUGGGUCAUGUGGGUAGCUCGGUUGGUAAUGCCACCAACUCUAUUUCAGUUCAGGUCACGGAUCUCAGGGUCUUAAGAUCCACAGCCCUGAGUCAGGCUCCAUGCUGGGGUUGGAGUCUGCUUAAGAUUCUUUCUCUCCCUCUCCCUCUCUUUCUGCCCGUCUCCCUCCCUCUUCCUCUUUCUUUCAAAAAAAAAAAAAAAAAAAAAA
rnacentral:lncRNA from 1 species